rnacentral:rRNA from 1 species
GCCAUGCANGUCUAAGUACAUACUGUUCUAAAGUGAAACCGCGAAUGGCUCAUUAAAUCAGUUACGGUUCCUCGGAUAUUCCAUUUUACAUGGAUAACUGUGGUAAUUCUAGAGCUAAUACAUGCACCAAAACUUCAACCCCGGUUCUGGCUAGUGGCUAGGCAACUAGUCAUCCAGGAUUUGGCGGAAGAAGCGUAUUUAUUAGACCAAGACCAAUGUUCCUUAUUCACCCAGGACCCUCUCUUAGUACGGCUAGUUAAUUUCGGUUAGCUGGUGUCGGCUAGGAUGAAGACCUGGCAGUGGGGAUCUAAGUAGUACAUUCGUGUGCUACGAUUACUGGUAUGGUGACUCUGAAUAACUGAGCAAAUCGUAUGGCCACCGUGCCGACGAUGUAUCCCUCAAGCAACUGCCUUAUCAACUUUCGAUGGUAGGUUAUGCGCCUACCAUGGUUGUAACGGGUAACGGGGAAUCAGGGUUCGAUUCCGGAGAGGGAGCCUGAGAAACGGCUACCACAUCCAAGGAAGGCAGCAGGCGCGCAAAUUACCCACUCCCGGCACGGGGAGGUAGUGACGAAAAAUAACAAUAUGGAACUCUUUUGGGUCUCCAUAAUUGGAAUGAGUACAAUUUAAAUCCUUUAAUGAGGAUCUAUUGGAGGGCAAGUCUGGUGCCAGCAGCCGCGGUAAUUCCAGCUCCAAUAGCGUAUAUUAAAGUUGUUGCGGUUAAAAAGCUCGUAGUUGGAUUUCAGUCCAACCUAUGGGGUCCACUGAAAAAGGGUAUGUUUAGUGUAAGCAGGUUGGUUACUUCUACACGGAGUACCUCCUCUUGCCUAGCUUAUCUGGUGGUUACUACCAUAGUUGUUGGACACAAUCGUGCCCGAUUUCUGCUUCUAAUGCUCUUCAUUGAGUGUUAGUUUAAGCGAUCGGGACUUUUACCUUGAAAAAAUUAGAGUGCUCAAAGCAGGCGUACCAAACCUCGAAAGAGGUGCCUAAAAUGGGUAUGGUCAGCUCUUGUACAUCUUUCGGGAUCGUCGAGAGUGUUGCCAUUCCUUACCUUGAAUAAUCUUGCAUGGAAUAAUGGAAUAGGACCUCGAUUCUAUUUUGUUGGUCUUCGGAAUCUGAGGUAAUGAUUAAGAGGGACAGACGGGGGCAUUCGUAUUGCGACGCUAGAGGUGAAAUUCUUGGACCGUCGCAAGACGAACUACAGCGAAAGCAUUUGCCAAGAAUGUUUUCAUUAAUCAAGAACGAAAGUUAGAGGUUCGAAGGCGAUCAGAUACCGCCCUAGUUCUAACCAUAAACGAUGCCAACCAGCGAUCAGCCUGAGUUUUUUCCUAAUGACUCGGCUGGCAGCUUCCGGGAAACCAAAGUUUUUGGGUUCCGGGGGAAGUAUGGUUGCAAAGCUGAAACUUAAAGGAAUUGACGGAAGGGCACCACCAGGAGUGGAGCCUGCGGCUUAAUUUGACUCAACACGGGAAAACUCACCCGGCCCGGACACUGAGAGGAUUGACAGAUUGAGAGCUCUUUCUUGAUUCAGUGGGUGGUGGUGCAUGGCCGUUCUUAGUUGGUGGAGCGAUUUGUCUGGUUAAUUCCGAUAACGAACGAGACUCUAGCCUACUAAAUAGACUUGCGAUUUUCCCUGGAUGUUUGCCUACUCGGGUGGCCUUAGGGGUAGGGUGUGUGCAUGCGGUAUGGCAACAUAUCGUAUGUUAUGCGCUUUGCCAUUAACUUAAGGUGUCUCCGGGAUAGGUUGCUCCAGCAUCGCAAGGGCUUCUUAGAGGGACAAGCGGCGCACGCAGCCGCACGAAACAGAGCAAUAACAGGUCUGUGAUGCCCUUAGAUGUCCGGGGCCGCACGCGCGCUACACUGAAGUGGCCAUCGUGCUUUAACAAUCCUGCUCCGAAAGGAGUGGGUAACCCCUUCAAACCAUUUCGUGAUUUGGGAUUGGGCAUUGUAAUUAUUGCCCAUGAACGAGGAAUUCCCAGUAAGCGUGAGUCAUAAGCUUGCGUUGAUUACGUCCCUGCCCUUUGUACACACCGCCCGUCGCUACUACCGAUUGAAUGAUUUAGUGAGGACUUCGGACCGGUCAGCCCAUACCUAGGGGCAACUCUUGGUCGGUUGUUCUAGAAAGAUGUUCAAACUUGAUCAUUUAGAGGAAGUA